rnacentral:snoRNA from 1 species
UGCAGCUGUGUCAAAUUCAGUGCCUGCCCAGCCUAUGGCAGACACUGGCCCAGAAGGCUGCCACAGCAGCAUGUGACCCAUGGGCUCUGAUUCCCUUACCUGGGCUUCAGGGAUAAAUUUGGUUACAUACACUA